rnacentral:rRNA from 1 species
GAUGAACGCUGGCGGCGUGCCUAAUACAUGCAAGUCGAGCGGUAAGGCCCUUCGGGGUACACGAGCGGCGGACGGCUGAGUAACACGUAGGAACGUACCCCAAACUGAGGGAUAAGCACCAGAAAUGGUGUCUAAUACCGCAUGUGGCCCACGGGCUAAAGCUCCGGCGGUUUGGGAACGGCCUGCGUCCGAUUAGCUAGUUGGCGAGGUAAUAGCUCACCAAGGCGACGAUCGGUAGCUGGUCUGAGAGGAUGAUCAGCAGACUGGGACUGAGACACGGCCCAGACUCCUACGGGAGGCAGCAGUAGGGAAUUUUCCACAAUGGGGGCAACCCUGAUGGAGCAACGCCGCGUGCAGGAUGAAGGCCUUCGGGUUGUAAACUGCUUUUAUAUGUGACGAUUAUGACGGUAGCAUAUGAAUAAGGACCUGCUAACUACGUGCCAGCCGCCGCAGUAA